GAGCGAAAUAAAUGGUGACAGAUACAACAUAAGAUAGUAGUUAGAUCGAUAUCAAUGCUCCAUGUGUGCCCUGAAGGGUAGGCCAUGAAACACCACAAAUAUACCAAUGGGAAAAAAAUACCCAGACAUAAAAUUUAUGACUCUCUUAUCAGAUCUAAGCAUCUUCAGAAAAUGGUCAAGCUGACGACGGUGAAGAAAAGCGCCACGAAGAAGAAGACAUUGCAGGCUCUGAAACCACGGCUACCUCGGUUGCUGCUCGGGGCCAGCGCCGGAGUCGAACUUGUGGGUAAUUCUAAGCCUCCGCUAGGAGCUCCACCACUAGACGGAACUCCUCCACUAGAGGGGGCAAGGCUAGGGCUGGAGACCGGAACCCCUAAAAGGGAGCACAGGCUGAUCGGCGGUGUGCUGACAUGACAGACCGUAGGGAGCUCCAACGACUUCUUCUUAUCAAUCGGCAACCCUAGGACCUCACCGCUGCCGACCAGCUGGCAGAGACACUGGGGCGCAUUAUCAACCAGCCCAGAGAGCCCCGGACAGCAACCCUUAUCCGGCACUGUCGUAUUGCUCCCCUCGGACACAUAGGACAGACAAUCAGACAGCCCCAGCAGCUCUGUUGCGCAGUCAGUGGGCGCUGUUGCCGGUCCCAGAGAUGAUGUCGGUCCGAAGGACGAUGAUGGUCCGAAGUACGAUGAUGGUCCCAGAGAUGAUGCCGGUCCAAACGACGAUGCUGGACUCAGAGAUGAAGCCGGUCCCGGAGAAUAUGCCGGGUUUUGUGCGUGGGCGCCGGCGAGGAGGAGGAGCAUGACGAGCAUGGGGAUGGGGAUGGCCAUGGCGG
rnacentral:misc_RNA from 1 species